rnacentral:rRNA from 1 species
AACGAACGCUGGCGGCAGGCUUAACACAUGCAAGUCGAGCGCCCCGCAAGGGGAGCGGCAGACGGGUGAGUAACGCGUGGGAACGUACCUUUUGGUUCGGAACAACUCCGGGAAACUGGAGCUAAUACCGGAUAAGCCCUAACGGGGAAAGAUUUAUCGCCGAAAGAUCGGCCCGCGUCUGAUUAGCUAGUUGGUGAGGUAACGGCUCACCAAGGCGACGAUCAGUAGCUGGUCUGAGAGGAUGAUCAGCAACACUGGGACUGAGACACGGCCCAGACUCCUACGGGAGGCAGCAGUGGGGAAUAUUGGACAAUGGGCGCAAGCCUGAUCCAGCCAUGCCGCGUGAGUGAUGAAGGCCUUAGGGUUGUAAAGCUCUUUUGUCCGGGAAGAUAAUGACUGUACCGGAAGAAUAAGCCCCGGCUAACUUCGUG